rnacentral:lncRNA from 1 species
AGUUGCGAAUAGUUUUCUUGGGCGCCAUUGGAGAAGCUUUGAAGGAAGAGAGAGCUAGCUGUAGUUCUAACUCGCAGAUGUAUAGAAAAGGGAAUAUGGUCGACCAAGGGUAAAAGAGUCAUUUAACCAUGUCAUAAAAUGUGUUGUACGUAUUCACUCCAAUGCUGAUUUCACUUUUAUUCUAAUACCAACACUAACUCAUUCAUUUCUUUCAUCUCUCUUGUUCAGUCCAACCAACAACAGAGAAAUAUGAUUCUUGCAUAAAUUUGGACUUUUUUUUGACUUCUCAUUAUUUUUUUAUCGGGGUGUGGCAAUUUCAGGUUAGCAUUUGUAUCAAUCUUUUGCCCUAAUCUUCUUCAGAUUCUCUUCAGAUUUUCAAUUUCAUGGCUUAAUUCAUGGUUGUUUUCUUAUUAUUCUAUCUAACUUUCUCUUCAAUGUCUUUGAGCGUUAUUUUCUUCCUUUGAAUCUCAUUAUUUUGUUCUGGUCAUCUGUUUGUCCUAUGUUGUUUUCUAUUUUUUAUCGAUAUGAUGAAAUUAUUGAUCUCUGAUUCACCGAAGAAUUUUACUGAGUAAAUGAUUUGCAGACUGACCAGUUAACAUGUAAAUAAAAAUCACCCUAAAGCUUAAUUCUCAAAUGAUAGAAUAUAAAUAUAUGCCUUUUACGGCAGCAAGGUAUACUACAAGGUAAAUCAGUCCUCUAAAGAAUGAUCUCUUAUACAUAAUUUGUUUGUUCAACGGGAUGCAUUAGCAAUUGAUGACGGGACCAAGGAUCUUUGGUUGUAAUGCAUCGUUGGUUUAUUUAUAUAAGACCACAUCUUACUAGAAUGGUCCAUUUGCCUAAGUAUAUGGAGUUCUGAAAGACUUUUUGAUUUCUAUAAUCUUAUGUUAAAUUGCAUUGUGCUUGAGGAAUGUGUUUUAUAUCUCUCAGCAUUGAAAAUAUUUUUACUACAAAUGAAGAGUGUUUUCUAUUCAAAUUUAAACUUUAGUAGAAGUUUAUUAAUUCACUGACUUUUAUAUAAAUCUGAUAUAAAGAGCAGCCUAAUGACUUGAGUUAUCCCUUGAUGGAGUAAUAUUGUUUUAGAUACAUUGCAGCAAGCUGCUUCUCUAUUUUUUUAGUACCGUCACAUGGACGUGUCUGAUACUGAAUAAUCUUAGGUGAAGCACUAGAUUUUUCUUGCUAAAAAUGCAGAGAAUCAACUACCGCUUGUUGAAGAAUGAGUAACUCUUGAUAAGGUACCACUAAUUUUAAUAUAUAUAUACUUUAUCAAAAAAAAAAUUAAUAUACAUGUAAUGCCGAUAUAAAAUUUUAUUUAGUUUGAAGUUCAGUCCCUUGGAAAAUUAGUUUUUGUAUUGCGCCUUUUUUUUUAAUCUAGUUAUACUAAAGAAUAGAUGAUAUAAUCAGAAAAGAGAUAUUAAUUUAAAGGAAAAUAUUAUGAAAUCCAUAUUUUUCUUGCAUUAUAGAUUUAUUUUUAUUUUGUUUGUUCAUUGCUUUUUUUAUUUAUUUAAUAAAGCACACACUUUUAUUGCACUUUGCGAUUAGCCCUCGAGCGCCUUUUAGAAAUUUUUGCCUUUAACAAUAGUGGUAACGACAAUCAUUUAUUAUCGUUUCUCUUUUCUCUAUAUUCUUUCCAACUUCUUGACUUUGCAGAUCUUUUAAGAAUUUACAACCUUCAUUCCCACUUAGAAUUUACCUCAUUGAAACGUCUUUAUUCGCUCAUGAAAUACACUAGAAAAGUCACUGAUGUUGCUUAUAAUUUGCUUGAUGUAAUUUUUAUUUUCUACAUAGGUCGUGUGAGUCUUCAUACACUAGCAUAUACUAUUUACACUUUUGGAUUUAAGUUCUUCAUAAUGUUAUACUAUUCUCUGAUAUUAAGUUCUAUUUGUGAGUUACAACACAAUAAAUCUAUAGCACACUAUACUAUUGUCAUGAGAUAUUUUAUAUUCUAUGAAUUUAUGUACUAAGACUGAGGACAAACUAAAAAAAGGAUGGUUUAGCAUGAUUAUUGUGGAGUGUAUUUGGUAACUGUGACAUGAUCUAACUUUAUUUUUUUUGUUCAUAAAUCAUUGCAAAGUGAUUAUAACGUGUUACAAAAUUGAUGCGCUUAUUAGGAAAAAAAUAUUGCAAAUUGAUAAUAAGAACAAGGUAAGAAAUUGAAAAAGAAAAACAUAAUACUUAGACUGGGUACAUUUCAUACAUGUGAUGCUGUUGUGGACAGAAUAAUACAGAAUAGUCAUUGAUGUUACUUGAUUUAUCAAGCAUUCAAAAUUCAUAUUGAUUAACUUCUAAUUGGAAGUUUUAAGAUUAAGCACCAUUUUAAGUUGACUAUAUCUUGAAGGACAUUUUCUGUUUAAUUACAUCUUCUCCAAUAUUUCAUGAAAUCUAACUUGUUUUCAUUUUUUGAAUUUGGUAUAGAUUGAUUAUUCACUAAAGAGCGAAGUUCAAAGGAGUCUAAUGAGUGAGGUAUGUAUAUUAGUUUUGAGCAAUAACAACUCCCUGAACAUAUUUAGAUUUAAGGAAUGUGCUAUGUAGCAAUAAUGUCUUGAAGAGUUGACUCUGCACAAAUAAUUAUUUGGUUUCUUUGAAUAUCUGGCUUAUGGAACUUCAGUUUGACACUUGUAGUGUUAUUUAGUAGAAAAAAGUAGGUUCUUUUGCCUUCUCAUUUCCCCUCCUUUUUGUGAUGAGUAAUAAAAAGAAAAUUUAUUUACAAGCACCAAUACUGAAUGAUGUUGAGAUAAAAAAGAGCAGUCUAAUAUACAAGACAUCUCGUAUUCAGGCAGGAUCUGAAGAAAGGUCGCACCCCAAGAGGUGUUGAUGUAGACGGCCUACCUUAAUGCAAGCAUUAGUGGCUGCUUCCACGGUACGAACUCGUGACCUAUAGGUCAUAUGGAGAUAAAUUUACCAUUUGCUCCAAAGUUCCACUUCUAAGAUAAUGCUGAGAUGAUAUAAAAAAUUCAGUAUAAGUCCAUAUUUUAUUUUUAUAGUGGUGAUAGAAACUGUAUGAAUGUAUCUACUUUCAUAACCGUGUAUGUUCUUGAUAAUUUGCUACUCAUAUGAUUGUGAUUAUUUCUUUCUUUUACUUAAGGGUAAGUAAAAUGUAUCGACCAACUUUUUUGGAGAUCAUUUGCAUUAAAUUUUGGCAUAUCCAUAUAAUUUUAGGAGUUAGCUUAUCAAAGAAAAAGAACCAAGGAAUAGCAUUUCUCCAAUUUUUCCGUAAUUGUUGACCGAUUUAAUCUUAAGGAUAGGAGGAUCUUAUACUCUUUAAUUUAUGAUGCAUCCUUAGAUUAUAGUAAUAGUGUCUUCUCCUUCAAUGACAUUGUUUGAUCUUCUCUAAAGGGGUGUACCUCGACACUUGGGUAUAGUCUUCUAGAGUAGUUUGUUUUCCCUUGGGGUUUCUCUCCCCUUCUUGUCUCUAACUUAUCUUUAUAUCAUGGUAUUUUUCAAAUUUGUGGUGCGGGACUUGUAUUAAUUAAUAUUUUCAAUAGAAAAAAUGUUUAAUAUUUUGUUCUCUUUUCAGAAUAGGAGCAAGAAGCUCUUUUGAUGGAGGUCAAGACGAAUACAAAGUGGUGAUGUUUUCGGCUUCCAGCAAUGCACAAAUUUUUACAAUACUCUUUAUGGUUCUUAAUGGGAUUAUGUGAUUUAUGUUGUUCGUACAUGCAUGGUGUAAGUACUCAAAAACAUAAUACAUCUGGUUGAUCAUGUGGUAUAAAAUGAUGGGUAGGAGAUGAGGAAUUAGUCAUAUGCUUUGAUUAAUAGAAAAGCACAACAAAAUGAAAUAUUCGCUCAAUUUUACACACGUCGGUCGGCCCCUAGGGAAGUAAUAUAUAGUUUUAUGUUUCUAUCACUAUUGAUCAGAAACAGCAUUGUUCUGUUGUGUUUGUGAAAUUAUUGUUAUCCUUAACCAUUUAUUGCUAUUUCGAGUCUUAAUCACA